CCUACGGGAGGCAGCAGUGGGGAAUAUUGGGCAAUGGGCGCAAGCCUGACCCAGCAACGCCGCGUGAAGGAAGAAGGCUUUCGGGUUGUAAACUUCUUUUCUCAGGGACGAAGCAAGUGACGGUACCUGAGGAAUAAGCCACGGCUAACUACGUGCCAGCAGCCGCGGUAAUACGUAGGUGGCAAGCGUUAUCCGGAUUUACUGGGUGUAAAGGGCGUGUAGGCGGGGACGCAAGUCAGAUGUGAAAACCACGGGCACAAACUGUGGCCUGCAUUUGAAACUGUGUUUCUUGCGUAAUGGAGAGGCAGAAGGAAUUCCUAGGGUAGCGGUGAAAUGCGUAGAUAUUAGGAGGAACACCAGUGGCGAAGGCGGUCUGCUGGACAGCAACUGACGCUGAGGCGCGAAAGCGUGGGGAGCAAACAGGAUUAGAUACCCUAGUAGUC
rnacentral:rRNA from 1 species